UCAUAAGUUUGAAAAUACUUUGACGUAAGACUGUCACUACUAUUUGAUUCAUCUGAAUAUUCUUACCAUAGCUUCUGUUUGUCUUAAAUGAUUUUCCAAUGUAUCAUUCAUAAAUUACUCUGGCGAUUUAUUCAUUUGUUUCAUCUACGUGAUUCUACUCAUCAUUCAACUCAUCUCGUUCAUUGAAUUGUUAUACUUACUACAACUUAUUACUGGCAUUUCACUCUUGUGAUGCUGCAAUUUACCCCUCUCGAGUGACUCUUGGACUUGUAUUACUUAUAUUGCCUUUCUAUUAGUAUAAAAACAAAAAUGAAUUACCGUAGAGCAUAGUGAAGAAAAAUGAAACAAUUUGGAACCACUACAAUUGCAAAUAUUUUCGUUGGCAAACAUACAUUUUGUGAUUUUACUUUAAUGAUCAAUGUUCGUUGCAGAUCUACGUAAUUUUACUUGUAUUAUAGAAGAGAAACACUACGAUAUGGGGGGAAAGGGGAAGUCGGUAUAGUUACAUUGACUGGUGAUAUUGUAUUUGUAAAUCCACGAAUUGAGACAUUAACGAAAUGUGCAUAUGGAAUAUGGAAGUGGAUGGAAGUUUUCUUCUACAGAUGAAAUUAAGGUUUCCGCAUAUUGGUGUCCUCAAGGACAAUCGAGUUAAGAUCAAAGAUGGGAAAUCAAUCCAAUCAUUGAAGAAAGAAUUUUUUCUUCUCCCAAUUGAAAAUUCCUGUGAUAUUCCGCAAUUUUUUUUUCAAGUAAAGCCGUUUUUAGUUCAAAGUUUCAUUCAUAUAAAUUAAAAUAUAUAAAUCCAUGUAAAAACGUAACAACGUCGUCGAUAGUUCAGUUUGUUAGGAUUUUUCAUACUUGCUCCAACUGAUUUACACUAGCGAUGGGUACUCUCCGAUAAUAUACUAAAGUAACAUAAAGUAAUAUAGCUUUUUGAUUUGCUUUGCAGGAGAACUGAUUACAAGUGCGAAUUAUGGGGAGUGAGCGUAUUCAACAUAGUAAAAAGUUAUGUCGAUUUGAUAUACAUAUGCCUAUAUGAUUAUUAAUUUUAUAUGAAGAUUGAUUGAAGGUCUAAUAAUACAGCCACUCAUCAUAACACCAUGUCAGAAGAUCUCAACACUUUGACAAUUAGACCAGGACAAGAAAGUCCAAUAGUUGACUUGCACGAUUGGGGUGGAAAGGAAGUGAUGUACAUUUUGUGACGAAAACUUGAAUUUUCAAUUUAUUUACCGCACUACCCUCGCGUGGACGAUGUUUCUAAUAGCAUUGCUGCUUAUUCGAGUUACGUGCCCAGGAAUAUCGUUUUUCAGUUUUCUUUGCUAUUACUAUGACUAGCACUUCCAGCUGUGUUCAAAGAUAGAUAAUUUCCCCUGCGACUUUCCAUGGAUUUACUUUUUUUUUUUCAUUCAAUUCUAUAAGAACACAUAAGUUAGAUGACCUCUUUUUCAAAAUUCCAUAAUAAAUUAAGCAUGCCUUACAGCAGUGUGGAAAGUUUUUUCCUGUUCUCUUUUUCUAGAUUCCCGGAUUAUCCUUAAAUACUUUAUCAAUAUUUGGACUAUCCUCUUUUGUAAAUAAUAGUGAAAAGUUCUAUAAACCAUCUGGGCUAUUCAUAUUCAGUUGACUGUAUUCAGUAGCAUCCAAAGCCAAUAGAUGGCCAUCUAGUUAUCCUAAGUUGUAUAUCUAUCCCAUUAGAUGUCUGUCUGUUUAUCAUAGAAUUUAUUGAGGCGGUUUUCAUGCACCUUAGAAUUGGGAUUCCUAUAAUUAUAGGAAAUUUUUCAAGCGUAUAUUAGAUUUGAAAUAAGAAUGACCAGCUAAUGUCUUGUUGCCUAAAACGUCACUUUUCCUCAACUUGUAAUGGAAAAAAAAUCAUCUUAUAAUCGAUCGUGAAAAAAGUGAUGGUAUUUUUCUGCGCUCGUAGUAAAAUAUAUGAUGUAUUAAAAAUAAUCUUCACUUUCUGUGAAUCUGAUUCAUAAGGAUGAUUAAUCGCUUCGACUGUCUGGUUAUAUUCGAUGCUCGUGUCUUUCAUUUCGCAGUUGCCGUACUGGUAGGGUUAUAAUCAUCGGUUGAUGGUUCUCCCACCAUUAUAUUGUAUGGCAUAAGGGAAUACGAAGCUCGAAUCUCGGUGGCAGACUUGAGUGAAAAAUUGACUGCACAGUGUUGUGUUGAUCGUGCAACAUUAAUCAACUUGGUCUAUCAGCUAUACAAUAACAAAGCAUUGUCACGUCACCCAUCUUAUCGAAGUAAAUUCAUAAUCCACAGCAUCGAACUCCACAAUUGAAAUGCAAGAAGAGGAUUCUUCUCAGAAAUCCAAGGGGCGAGGAAUACCUGUUAAAGCCUGCAUAAAAUGUGGCGCUAUUUGGAAACGAACGCAUUACUGCCCAGCGGACGACAAGAUAUGCAAAACGUGCGGAAAAAUUGGUCAUUUGACGAAAUAUUGUCUCUUCAAAAAGACGAACUGCAUGAUACCGAACCCUGCAACAUCGGUGAGACGUCAAACAGGUGAAAAAUCACAUCACCGAUCAAAUCCACCCACACAUAAUAACAAUGUUAAUAAAUUCAAAGAGAACUCUUAUGGGGAACAGACAGUCCAAUAUACGCCGAAGAGCGCAAUAAAGUCUGAAGAUCAAACUAAACAAUCGAAUGACGACAUAUUUGAGCAGAAUAUAAACUACUAUUCCAAAUUGAUAAAUUUAUCCCCAAAGGAUCCACAGAACUACAACAAUCGAUCGAGCUUCUAUAUGAUGUCGAAGCAAUACGAACACGCCUUUGCCGAUUCUUCGAAAGUAAUCGAGUUAGAUCCCUCAUCUGUUGAAGGCUACUGCCGUCUAUUAAAGUGCGCAAAUAUCCUAGGGUGCACAAUGGAAGCAGAGAUAUACAUUAAGAAAUUACGUAAAUUCGAUCCCGAGAACGAAGUAUUAAUCAUCGAAGAAGAAAAAUUCAACAAACUGCAAGGGUACAAUCAGUGUGAGAGUUUAGCGGCGAAGAAUAAGAACUAUAAAGAGGCUCUGGCGAAUGUGUGUGCGAGCUUGGCUAUCAGUUCCGAGAAUUUAUCGCUGAAAAUAAAAAAGGCUGAGUAUAUGGCACUAUUGAAACAAUACAAUGAAAGUGAAAACAUUGUGGAGAAGAUUUUGGAGAAAGACUGCAAUAAUUUGAACGCUAAGUAUAUCUUGGGGAUCAAGAAGUACCAUUUGGAUAUCGAUACUGCUGCGAAAUAUUUUGAGGAACUCCUGAAACUCGAUCUUGAUCAUUGCAAAAUUCGUGAUUUUUAUGAGAAAGCACGGAGAAUAUCGGAGAAGAAAACGCGUGGAAACGACGCAUUUUUGAAUAAAAACUUUGAAGCAGCCCACAAUUACUAUUCAUCAGCUUUGGAAAUCGAUCCUGACCACGUGAACAUGAAAAUCAAAUUAUACUUCAACAUGGGUCAAGCAUCUUGGAACAUGAAGAAAUAUAGACAAGCAAUCGCAGAGUACGAACACGUCAUACGCAAUGAUGCUAAUAAUCAUUAUGCUCUGAAACAACGCGGCAAAUGUUACAUGCUGAUUAACAAACAUAAGGAAGCUAUUGCUGACUUUACCUACGUUCUAACGUUAAACCCCAUGGAUUCCGACUGCAGACAAUUGAUCAAUGACGCUACCGAACAAGUUGUAUCUUUCUUAGGGAAAGAUCCUUACGAAAUCCUGGGCGUGAGGAAAGAUUCAUCGCUCCAAGAAAUCAAAGACGUUUAUGACCACAAAGAACUUCUACAUUAUCUCAAUCGCGUAGUGCAUACUACUGAAGCGGAAAAAACUAAACAUGAAAACAAUUUCAAAGAAGUAACAUUCGCAUAUGAGAAGCUAUUGGAAAUGGUUGAAAAUAAAGCCAACUUUAAUGUUGAGGAUACAUCUAUUAAACCCUAUAAUCUCUUCGGUGAUUGAGAACAUGUCAUAUUGGAAUGGAGAAUCUAUAAUCAUUUUUCACCGGAACAAAACUGCUUGGAAAACAGAUCAACAUUUCCCAUGUGCCAAAUUGAUAUCCGGUCCGAAGACGAAGAUGUCAAGCACUUGGUGGAGAUCAAGUUGUUUUCUGAGGUGUAGUUGCCAACAUUCUUUUCGAGGGGAGAGAUUAUUCGGAUCUACGUGCGACGAAGGGUUUUAACUUGUGUGAUUGGUAGCCGUCACUUUCGCCACGAGCCACCAAAAUUGCACUCUUUACCACUGCAUCGAACUUGUAUCAAAAUAUACUAAAAUACUAUUAGAUCCCUGGGCUGUGGAACGUUGCUCGUCUAUUUUGAUAUACCAUAAGUUUAGAUAUCGGAGAUACUAAUGAUUACUUUAAACAAAUCAUAUCAAACUAUCCCUAAAUUUUGGGUUUUAUUGGUUAAUCUCAUAUGAACAGAUGUAGUGCGAGCCAAGUUUGAAUUCAGCGUGUGCUGGAGCACAGCAUUCACACAGGAAAAUAAAACUAGAUAAUGUCUUAAUCUUUGCAAUCAUUUUCAGUCCGGAUUUUUUUUGAUAAUGCUAUAUCUGUUGCAUGUUCUGCUUACUUAAAUUUAUUACUUUUUGUAUUCUUUUUCAAUAACAAAGUGUUUUUCAUUUGAUCAUUUCCUAUGAUACUAAGGACUAGAAUUAAGACAUAAAUUUCUACAUCUUGUGCCAUCACAUGAGUUUUUUAGUAGAUUGAAGAGGAGCCACUUUUUACAAGAUAAAUCUAUUGCAAGAAUCAUUAUAAUUCAGACCGGUAUUUAUAACCGGUACUUUCGGUUUAUGGGUCAGAUUCUAUGGAGUCUUCACACCCGUUGAAUUGUGUAAUGACGACACAUUUUGAAGCAGAAGAGUGGCAUUCUUCAACAUAUUAUUUGCAUCUUUGGUGUCAUCGGCUUUUUGAAAUUGGAUGAGAAUAACUAGAUAUGUGGUAACUGCACCGGCCAUCUAUAAGAAAGUCAAAAAUAGGAAAUGAGUGAUUAAAAUUUUGGGAUAAACAAAUUUUACUGCUGGCAAUAUCGAACUCCAAUACGUUUGAAAACCCUUUUCAUCCAUGAUGGGCAGUGCCAUCAUUAGCUUUUGGAUGGGUACCAUAUCACCGACAUUAUAAUCUGCAUUAUCAGUAAAAAAGACUGUAUAUCCGUUCGUUAUCGCAUGAGAUUCAUAACAAAUAUGGGCCUUCCGUUUUACGAUAUGUGAACGAUAUUCAACUUGAUAAAGAGAAAGAGAGAUGAAUGCUAGCUUAUCUUUGCAUUAUCUCUAAUCACGUAAAAACUUAGCCUGUGCGUUGGAAUAGAAAGUAUAUUCCGACACGAGUGCGAAACGUUUUUUAACUCAUGGAAGCAUGUUUGUAUCGGAAGAACAUUACAUUUGAAAUAUUCAAUUUUUCUAAAAUUGUUUUAAAAUUUCAAUCACCUAAAAUCCUUUCACAUGACUUUCAAAUCCUCUGAUUCAAGUGAUAAAUAAACUCCAAGUCACAUUUCAUUUAGGAAUUUAGGACCAAAAAACAUGUAACGGUUGAAUACAAUGUGAAAGACCAAUUGUACAUCCCACCGAACCAUUUCAUUUUCCAAAUCUUUCCUGACAUUUAUCCACUACAACUAGCGAAAGAACCCACAACUCAAGUGAUCAACACAUGGCCGUUGUUCUUACGUUGGUCUGCAGAAAAGAAAAGCCGGAUCAGUUCCAUUUUCCCUAAACACAUUUCUUCCACUUCCUAUUCAGAAUAUUUUUCAACAAUAACAAAUUUACAAUUUUAUCCUCCCGCUGUGGAAUGUUGACAAGCCCCAAAGAAAAAUACAACAGUUCCGUUCUCAUGCAACCGUCGAAUCAAUAGAAUUUCUCGUCCCAUAUUUAUCGGAAAUUAGUCAUGUAUUAAAGGUCAAUAUCAUUAUCGUCAUUAUCAUCACAUUUCAUAUUCAUAUUCGUUACGAAAAUAAAGGAAACAAGUGUCUAACAACGGAAGAUAAAAUAAAAGAACUUUGAUAUAGAUACCGAAGUGAUUAGAGCCCGAUCUAAAGAAAAGAGUCCACAAGCAGUGAAGUCCAAUGGUCUGUGCAGAAGCUGGAGCGAGAAGAGUUCAAGUUGUUUCCUCACAUAAGGUUCCCAAUGAUAACUUACGUCAACCAGACGUCCCAUAAUCUCCUGAAUGUACUUCCACCGAAAAGGAGCCCCAAGUACUCCAACAGCAGCUAAAAGAGCAACGGCAACGACGUCUCCAAUGGUAACAUUUAACGCAGUCUGAUGCUUCAGCCUGGUGCUGUGUACCCAUCCGUCCCUGAGGUCUCUCCAAAGGCCCCAAAUUUCAGCGCAGAUAAAUAGCAAAAGUAGACAAACCCUGUUCAAAUUCUAAAGCAUUAAACUCUGUACAAGAGAUAGUAGAUUUGCUCACCCGUAUAUAAUCUCAAGCACGUGAAUCUUGGAAUUAUAUCUCCCACUUGCUUGGAUAGUGAAUCUCACUGGUAAUAGCCCAAAUCCUUUACUCAAGUGGUAAAUGGGAAAGAGACCCUGGUACAAAUCCGAUUUCACUUGCUUAUUCAUUGUUACUUUGUGUUUAGCCGUAUCACCUUCAUUAGCACUGGUCAUCAAUCCUAUUAAGGGAAUUAUCUAUUCAUUCAAAUAACAUGAUGUUCCAAAAUAUCAGCCUAUCAGUUGUAUAUUUUGAAAGGCCCACCCCGGUAAUUUUCGGUUCCACUUUAAUGCGCGGCAAGGAUUCUUUUUUUUUUCUUGUAAUUUUUGGGCAUUUAUCAUUAUUGAGUUAUCUGAUUGAGCACAACAGAUAAUGAAUUUUACUUAUUCCAAAAACCGAGCGUAUGACUAAGCUGAAUGAGUGUUUGUCUCAGAGUGCAUUAGCGUGCCUCCAAUUCUCUGACACUUACACAAUCAUCGCGGACCUUGGCGGUUCAAUCGUUUAAAAUGAUGAAAAAUUGUACUCACUAGGUUUUGGAAAUGCUUGUUUAAUAACAUCCCAAGACACAUGCAUAUUUGAUCGAUGCAAAGAAUGGAAAGAAUACGUUUAUAAAGCUUUAAAAAUAAAUUUGAUGCUCUUUCAACUGUUGUCUCUCACCUGCACACCAUUUGUAAACAAGUCUGCUGAGUGUAUUUUGAUUUCAUUCGUUAUAACAAUGAAAACACGACUCGCAGGCCUUUAUCUUGAUGGCGAACUAUCGUUUUAUGAAGUAAAUUACUCACUGUGAGUCGAGUUGAGAUGAGAAUCGAAGCGAAAUGAUAAACCCAGUGUUUGCAUCUCGUCAAUGGGAAUUAUAAUUACUAUUGACCAUUCGAUCAGUGCUGUUGGAUGAAAUAUGAUCAUUAUCAUUGGUAAACACGUGCAUUUCUACCCUGGUCAAGUGCAUCAAUUGGAUCGAUGUUAUGAGACCAAUAACAGGGACAAGUAUAUUCAAACAAAAAUAGAAUAAUGCAUAUCUAGCAGGUGUUAUUGGUAUCUCCCACACUUAGGCAGUAGCACAUAUAUAUGAAUGGUAAAUAAUAGAAAAUGUAAGAAUCUUCUUACCACAAAUUUCAUGGCCAAGGUCAGGGGUGCUCAUUAAAAAAAAUCCAUUAAAAAAUAACUGCCCAAUCGCAUUGUACAAAAUUGAGCACAAUGAUUGAAUACCAAUAUUAUAACGUUAUCCUAUAUAACAUGUUUCCUUCAUGUUUUUGGAGUGGAACUGCUUUUUAAACCUUCUUUUAUUAUUUGUUUAAAAAAAUAAUAAUGGUUUUUGUUUUUUUAUCUGAAACUUUCCAAGUCGUGCCACGGAAAACAUAUCAUUCUUCCCCACGUUCUUACCGCCCUCAUUUUCAGCUCGAAUGAGUACUUUGCACUUGGGAAAAGACAAUCUGUUAUCCACGGCUAAUCUUGAAAUGCACUAUUUUUCUCCAGAGUGCUUCAAUUUCUUUCAAGAAAAAAAGUUAUCUUAUACUAUUAUUAGAUGAGAUAGAUGUGCCAGGUAUUUCAUUAUACAAUCCAAAUAAAAAUUAUUCUCAACAAUUUGCUAGACACAAAUAAUCAGUUGCAGAGUAAUUCUGAUCAUAAUAAUGUUACCAAACAUGAUCUUGAAUAAUGGGAUAUUCUAUUUUUUUACCAUUAUAUUACUAUUGAUUCCAAGAAAUGCCCAUAAUAGCUCCAUCUUAAGUAUGAAAAAUUUCCACCUUCAAGUCAGGAAAGUUGUAUUUUACAAUCUUACUAAUCAUUCGUCUUAGGUGACAAUGUUUUUUUUCAUAGAACAUUACUUCUGUCAUAAUUUGUUGGUAAAACGACUGCAGUGCACGUAUUGAUAUGUCGCAGAUGUUAUUAUUGUUGAUUAUUCUUCAACUGACGGGGUAAAAACGAUCUUGGAUUUCUUUUUCACUCUCAUUUGCCCGUAAACUCCGUCUCUAAAAAGAUGUCUGUCAAAAUGAAUUUUCAACGUUAACUUUUAUGAAAAAAUUUCAACAUGUCACUACACGACCAGAAAAAUGAUUUAAAAUUAUGUGCCUGUGCCGUAUUCUGUCAGUUAAAACAAUAUUCGGUAAGAAUGACGAAGCAAUUACACACAAUUUCAGUAAACUUUCAGGAAAACUAUGGAAUGUUCAGUGAAAAAAUGCGUAACUGUUCCAUAAUUUUUACUGAGUACUGUUUUGACUGGUAGAUAAGUUGAUUUUGGUAGGAUAUUUUUAACAUGGCAAUUGUUGUAGCAUCAUAUGACUCGUAAUCAUGUCUUUGGGUAUAAUUACGGGUUGAUGAAGAUAAUCUCAACAGUUCCAAUUUUAAGUAUAUUUAUAUAUUUUUCGUUUUUAUUAAUUAAAGGUUGUUUUUUGAAAUAAUUGCGUUCAUGAGAUGACCAUAAUAUUUACGUCUACUAAAUGUUCCGCGCAUCAAUACCAAUUAAAAUGUACAGUGAAAAUUAGCCCAUCAAAAACCGAAUAAAGAAAGAGCACUCGAAUAUUGCCUAAUUCUUUUCCACUCGAGGUAGCCAUAAAAUGGAAAUACAAUGAUAUAUAUAAUUCGUUCUUUUGGUUCUUUUUUUGCUCAAACAUCACAUCAAUCGGAUUAUUAACAUGCUCUCAAACGUCUGUCACAGCCUAUAAAAUAAAUCGCCUUCCUACUAUUGUCCACUACAAAAAUGAUUUACAAUUUUCACGAACGCUCAAGGUAUAUAAAUAUACCUCAAGGAUAAAACCAAACAAAAAAAAAGUAAAAA